GAUGAACGCUAGCGGCAGGCCUAAUACAUGCAAGUCGAACGGUGUCUUCGGACAUAGUGGCGCACGGGUGCGUAACACGUAUGCAACCUACCUUACAUUGGGGGAUAGCCUUUCGAAAGGGAGAUUAAUACCGCAUAAGACAGUAGCUGGGCAUCCAGCAGCUGUUAAAGAUUUAUCGAUGUAAGCUGGGCAUGCGUCCAAUUAGCUAGUUGGUGAGGUAACGGCUCACCAAGGCAAUGAUUGGUAGGGGAACUGAGAGGUCAAUCCCCCACACUGGCACUGAGAUACGGGCCAGACUCCUACGGGAGGCAGCAGUAGGGAAUAUUGGGCAAUGGACGCAAGUCUGACCCAGCCAUGCCGCGUGCAGGAUGAGGGCGUUAUGCGUUGUAAAGCACUUUAAGUUGGGAGGAAGGGUUGUACGCUAAUACCGUGCAAUUUUGACGUUACCGACAGAAUAAGCACCGGCUAACUCUGUGCCAGCCGCCGCGGUAAAAC
rnacentral:rRNA from 1 species